GCCAAAUGGCGCGUGCUAUACAUGCAAGUCGAGCGGACCAAAUCGGAGCUUGCUCUGAUUUGGUCAGCGGCGGACGGGUGAGUAACACGUGGGCAACCUGCCCGCAAGACCGGGAUAACUCCGGGAAACCGGAGCUAAUACCGGAUAACACCGAAGACCGCAUGGUCUUUGGGUGAAAGGCGGCCUUUGGCUGUCACUUGCGGAUGGGCCCGCGGCGCAUUAGCUAGUUGGUGAGGUAACGGCUCACCAAGGCGACGAUGCGUAGCCGGCCUGAGAGGGUGACCGGCCACACUGGGACUGAGACACGGCCCAGACUCCUACGGGAGGCAGCAGUAGGGAAUCUUCCGCAAUGGGCGAAAGCCUGACGGAGCGACGCCGCGUGAGCGAAGAAGGCCUUCGGGUCGUAAAGCUCUGUUGUGAGGGACGAAGGAGCGCCGUUCGAAGAGGGCGGCGCGGUGACGGUACCUCACGAGGAAGCCCCGGCUAACUACGUGCCAGCAGCCGCGGUAAUACGUAGGGGGCGAGCGUUGUCCGGAAUUAUUGGGCGUAAAGCGCGCGCAGGCGGUUCCUUAAGUCUGAUGUGAAAGCCCACGGCUCAACCGUGGAGGGUCAUUGGAAACUGGGGGACUUGGGUGCAGGAGAGGAGAGCGGAAUUCCACGUGUAGCGGUGAAAUGCGUAGAGAUGUGGAGGAACACCAGUGGCGAAGGCGGCUCUCUGGCCUGCAACUGACGCUGAGGCGCGAAAGCGUGGGGAGCAAACAGGAUUAGAUACCCUGGUAGUCCACGCCGUAAACGAUGAG
rnacentral:rRNA from 1 species